GCCAGGCAUGGUGGCCCAUGCCUGUAAUCCCAGCUACUCAGGAGGCUGAGACAGGAGAAUCACUUGAAUCCAGGAGGUGGAGGUUGCAGUGAGCCAACAUCAUGCCAUUGCACUCCAGCCUGGGUGACAGAGUGAGACUCCGUCUCAC
rnacentral:sRNA from 1 species